GACGAACGCUGGCGGCGUGCUUAACACAUGCAAGUCGAACGGAAAGGCCCUGCUUUUGUGGGGUGCUCGAGUGGCGAACGGGUGAGUAACACGUGAGUAACCUGCCCUUGACUUUGGGAUAACUUCAGGAAACUGGGGCUAAUACCGGAUAGGAGCUCCUGCUGCAUGGUGGGGGUUGGAAAGUUUCGGCGGUUGGGGAUGGACUCGCGGCUUAUCAGCUUGUUGGUGGGGUAGUGGCUUACCAAGGCUUUGACGGGUAGCCGGCCUGAGAGGGUGACCGGCCACAUUGGGACUGAGAUACGGCCCAGACUCCUACGGGAGGCAGCAGUGGGGAAUAUUGCAUAAUGGGCGGAAGCCUGAUGCAGCAACGCCGCGUGCGGGAUGACGGCCUUCGGGUUGUAAACCGCUUUCGCCUGUGACGAAGCGUGAGUGACGGUAAUGGGUAAAGAAGCACCGGCUAACUACGUGCCAGCAGCCGCGGUGAUACGUAGGGUGCGAGCGUUGUCCGGAUUUAUUGGGCGUAAAGGGCUCGUAGGUGGUUGAUCGCGUCGGAAGUGUAAUCUUGGGGCUUAACCCUGAGCGUGCUUUCGAUACGGGUUGACUUGAGGAAGGUAGGGGAGAAUGGAAUUCCUGGUGGAGCGGUGGAAUGCGCAGAUAUCAGGAGGAACACCAGUGGCGAAGGCGGUUCUCUGGGCCUUUCCUGACGCUGAGGAGCGAAAGCGUGGGGAGCGAACAGGCUUAGAUACCCUGGUAGUCCACGCUGUAAACGGUGGGUACUAGGUGUGGGGUCCAUUCCACGGGUUCCGUGCCGUAGCUAACGCUUUAAGUACCCCGCCUGGGGAGUACGGCCGCAAGGCUAAAACUCAAAGGAAUUGACGGGGCCCCGCACAAGCGGCGGAGCAUGCGGAUUAAUUCGAUGCAACGCGUAGAACCUUACCUGGGUUUGACAUGGAUCGGGAGUGCUCAGAGAUGGGUGUGCCUCUUUUGGGGUCGGUUCACAGGUGGUGCAUGGCUGUCGUCAGCUCGUGUCGUGAGAUGUUGGGUUAAGUCCCGCAACGAGCGCAACCCUUGUUCACUGUUGCCAGCACGUUAUGGUGGGGACUCAGUGGAGACCGCCGGGGUCAACUCGGAGGAAGGUGGGGAUGACGUCAAGUCAUCAUGCCCCUUAUGUCCAGGGCUUCACGCAUGCUACAAUGGCUGGUACAGAGAGUGGCGAGCCUGUGAGGGUGAGCGAAUCUCGGAAAGCCGGUCUCAGUUCGGAUUGGGGUCUGCAACUCGACCUCAUGAAGUCGGAGUCGCUAGUAAUCGCAGAUCAGCAACGCUGCGGUGAAUACGUUCCCGGGGCUUGUACACACCGCCCGUCAAGUCAUGAAAGUUGGUAACACCCGAAGCCGGUGGCCUAACCGUUGUGGGGGAGCCGUCGAAGGUGGGACUGGU
rnacentral:rRNA from 1 species